UUUCCGUAGGUGAACCAGCGGAAGGAUCAUUAUUGUAUAACCGAGGUGCGAGGGCUGUCGCUGGACCGAAAGGUCGUGCACGCCCGAGUGCCCUCACACACCUCCAUUUCACCCCUACGUGCACCACCGCGUGGGUCCCCCUUUAGCUUGUUCGGAGGGGGGCUUACGUUUUCACACCACCUUUGUAUGCAGUGUAGAAUGUAUUUUUUGUUUUUGCGAUCUCGCAUUCAAUACAACUUUCAACAACGGAUCUCUUGGCUCUC
rnacentral:misc_RNA from 1 species